rnacentral:lncRNA from 1 species
ACAGUUAGUUGCCGUCUAAUCUUUUUAACUACUGCUUUUGGCUGUAAGAAAGGGGCAGACAUGUACAAUCUUCUUAUUCCAAAUUUGUAGUUUGAUCUUUCGCAUUGCUUGUGAGUUCUCACAAUGAAUUCUUGGGUAUAGACCUCAUGGAACAGGAAUGCACUUGCCUUCUGCAUUUCGAUCCUGUUUCAGCAUGUUACAGCGAAAAAGCCUGGUGGAAGAUGAAGCACAGUGAUUGUUUGUUCAGGCAUGAGACGACACAGAACUGCGUAAGCAGGGGGAUUGUUAUUGAUCCCGAUGAAGCAAGGCCUGACCUGUACACAUCUUGAGAGUGGCCUCAGCUGUACCAUCUCAGAGGGAUAGACGUCUUUGUCAGGACUGCCAAUACACAUCCGCUACAGGAGCAAAGGUGAAUCAAAAUGUCCAAUCAUCUUUCCUGAAGACCACAUUUGGCUUACUUUUACAUUUUUUGGAAAGCAGAUUAAGCCUUUUCCUUUAAAUCUUCAUUGUGUGAGAAAUGAACCAACUGCAAUUGUUACAGUUUAUAAUUUCACUGUUUUGCAUAUGACAAAGAAAAAUCAGAAAUUUGUGAUAAUAGGGCUUUGUAAUCAAGUUGUGCUUUGUACGAGAAGCAGUGAGAAAUUUGAGGAUCAGUGUAUAAUAAAU